GGACUUAAAAUCCGCACAGUGUCGGUUCGAACCCGACUGGGGGCA
rnacentral:tRNA from 1 species